GGAGGGGGUCUGUACCGGGAGGUCUGUCAUGUAGACCUACAGACUGAAGAGAGGAUGGUGAAGGUCUGUCAUGUAGACCUACAGACUGAAGAGAGGAUAGUGAAGGAGGUCUGUCAUGUAGACCUACAGACUGAAGAGAGGAUGGUGAAGGAGGUCUGUCAUGUAGACCUACAGACUGAAGAGAGGAUGGUGAAGGAGGUUUGUCAUGUAGACCAACAGACUGACUGUCUCCUGAGUUGUCUGGAGGCCAAGUCUGUCCAGACGUCGCCUAUGGAGGAAAGCUAUAAGUUUAAAGUGCCUUUACCGGACCAGAUGCCACCCUUGUUUGUGAACGAGGCUGGAGGAGAGUCCUCUUUGUCUUCCUCCUGUCCCCUGAAACUCCCCCCAGAACUGGCCCUGUCCCUACCCAUACCCUUCUCCCCCAAGGUCGCACCAGCAUUUGUCUGUACGUGCCAACAGCAGCAGAGUGGCAUUAAACCUCCCCCACCACCUCCUUUACCUGGUCACUCCAUGGCUCCUCCUCCACCACCACCUCUACCAGGGGGUGCAAUGCCCCCACCACCUCCACCACCACCUCUACCAGGGGGU